rnacentral:rRNA from 1 species
CGGGCAGGUGGUCCGUUAAGUCGUCUGUGAAAACCCGGGGCUCAACCCCGUGGAAUGCAGGCGAUACUGGCGGACUGGAGAUCGGUAGAGGCUAACGGAAUUCCUGGUGUAGCGGUGGAAUGCGUAGAUAUCAGGAAGAACACCCGUGGCGAAGGCGGUUAGCUGGGCCGAAUCUGACACUCAUCCGCGAAAGCGUGGGGAGCAAACA